rnacentral:rRNA from 1 species
GAGAGUUUGAUCCUGGCUCAGGACGAACGCUGGCGGCGUGCCUAACACAUGCAAGUCGAACGGAGUAGAUAUUUCGGUAUUUACUUAGUGGCGAACGGGUGAGUAACGCGUGAGCAACCUGCCUCUUCGAGGGGGAUAACAGUUGGAAACGACUGCUAAUACCGCAUAAGACCACAAUGUCGCAUGGCAAAGAGGUCAAAGGAGAAAUCCGCGAAGAGAGGGGCUCGCGUCCCAUUAGGUAGUAGGCGGGGUAAAGGCCCACCUAGCCAACGAUGGGUAGCCGAGCUGAGAGGCUGAUCGGCCACACUGGAACUGAGACACGGUCCAGACUCCUACGGGAGGCAGCAGUGGGGAAUAUUAGGCAAUGGGCGAAAGCCUGACCUAGCAACGCCGCGUGAGGGAAGAAGGUCUUCGGAUUGUAAACCUCUGUCGCAGGGGACGAAGAAAGUGACGGUACCCUGUGAGGAAGCCCCGGCUAACUACGUGCCAGCAGCCGCGGUAAUACGUAGGGGGCGAGCGUUGUCCGGAAUUACUGGGCGUAAAGGGUGCGUAGGCGGCGCUUUAAGUUGGAUGUGAAAUCCCCGAGCUUAACUUGGGGUCUGCAUCCAAUACUGGGGCGCUAGAGUGCAGGAGGGGUAAGCGGAAUUCUCAGUGUAGCGGUGAAAUGCGUAGAUAUUGGGAAGAACACCGGUGGCGAAGGCGGCUUACUGGACUGUAACUGACGCUGAUGCACGAAAGCGUGGGGAGCAAACAGGAUUAGAUACCCUGGUAGUCCACGCUGUAAACGAUGAGUGCUAGGUGUUGGGGGGCUUCCACCCCUCGGUGCCGGCGUUAACGCAUUAAGCACUCCGCCUGGGGAGUACGGCCGCAAGGCUUAAACUCAAAGGAAUUGACGGGGACCCGCACAAGUGGUGGAGCAUGUGGUUUAAUUCGAAGCAACGCGAAGAACCUUACCAGCUCUUGACAUCUUCUGACAGCUCUAGAGAUAGAGUGUUCCCUUCGGGGACAGAAUGACAGGUGGUGCAUGGUUGUCGUCAGCUCGUGUCGUGAGAUGUUGGGUUAAGUCCCGUAACGAGCGCAACCCUUGUUGUCAGUUGCCAGCAUUUAGUUGGGCACUCUGGCGAGACUGCCGGUGACAAACCGGAGGAAGGUGGGGAUGACGUCAAAUCAGCAUGCCCCUUAUGAACUGGGCUACACACGUGCUACAAUGGAUGGUACAGCGAGUCGCUAAACCGCGAGGUCAAGCAAAUCUCCUAAAGCCAUUCUCAGUCCGGAUUGCAGGCUGCAACUCGCCUGCAUGAAGCCGGAAUCGCUAGUAAUCGUGGAUCAGAACGCCACGGUGAAUACGUUCCCGGGUCUUGUACACACCGCCCGUCACACCACGAGAGUUCGUAACACCCGAAGUCGGUCGAGCAACUUUAUAGAGCCAGCCGCCGAAGGUGGGAUGGAUGAUUGGGGUGAAGUCGUAACAAGGUAGCCGUAG